GUGGCAGAACCUCCUGAAUUAAGUGGCCCACAUGCACCCAUCAUUGUCUCCAAGACUUCUGAUCGGCAUGCACGAGUUCCAAAUGACUCAAGAAGUCUGUCGGGUACCCUCGGAGGACCCCGAAUCAUCCACAUUUUAUCUCAUACAGGAUCAACAUGGAGUUACCACAACAUUACAACAUUUGUUACAAAAAUAACUUAGAUCAGAGUGCGGAAGAUUUAUAACUUAAUUUACAACAUAUGAUGAAGUACAAACUUAACUAAAUUUCCAAAAGGUGUGUAGAGUAGCGGAAGCAACUUAGGUGAAGCUUCUAAGGUAGAAGAGGUGGAUAAAUCAUGUCGCGCCCACCGACAUGACCUCCAUUAGCAGUUUAAGUCAGCACCUGCAACAGGGGUUAUAAAACCCUGAGUACAAAAGUACUCAACAAGACUUAACCGACUAGAAAAGAGGUGAAGACUCAGGUAUGCAGGCUAUAGGGAUUCAAGGUAAAGCUUUAUCAAGAUAAAGCAUUUCUUUUGCAUAAAAGCUUACUAAGAGUAAAACCUACUUUCAAGUUUUAACUCAAGAUCAUCAUUUAUGACUAACCAAAACUAUUAUCAAACUUUCAUAAGCAUACCACCUCUUUCUCUUACCAAAGAUAUUCACUUAUUACUACGAUGAUGGUACGAGGAUUGAGGCUCCAUAUCCGAGGAAACACGGCGAUUCGAAUCGAUUAAACCCAGCUGGGGAUUCAGUACCACACGACAUGACCAGAUAUUCAUACAGACCAUAUCGGGUAGUGAAUGCUGUUUUCGGAACAUCUUUUGAUUUGAUCUUAAUU
rnacentral:lncRNA from 1 species